UGAUAUACAAGUGUCCGAACGGACCCCGCCCCUCUCAAACUCCUCUCCUCUUCGUCUCUCACCAUCUCAGAGACCCCACAACGUAACCCCACCGUGCACCGCCGCCGGAAAUCGCCCUACAACGGAGGUAGGUCUCCGAUGACCACCAAAUUUAUACCCUAACUCCCUCUCCUUCUCCUCAGUCCAAAUCCACACCCCUUUUCCCUCGAAUCACACCUGAGCUUCCUCGAAUCUGGCUCAGAAGUCCGAACCCUAAUCCGCCGCCUUAUUUUUCCAUCGUCUCAACCGGCAGCGCCGACUCCUUUUUCCACAAAAUCAACACCAAGUGACCACCAUGACCUGCUCAUCCCCAGAUACCCAACCCACUACCCUCAAAUCCUAACGAGGCUCUUUGAAUAUUAAAUCACAAGUUGAGCCCUAAGAGUCAAAAUCGAGAUUCUGCGGACGAUGUUGGUCCAAAAUGAUUUUAUUCACUUGUUCUCUGUGAGAACAUGCGAUUAAUAUCAGAUUGGACCAGGAAUCUAGGGAGUUGAAGAUUUGAGAUGUUUGUUUUCUUGGUCCGAAUUGUAGAAGGUAUUUCUUCUUGUUUAUAAUUAAUCUUCUUUUAUUCUGUUUUCCCCUCAUUGUUUUCUUUCUGUUCCUUCUCUUCUUCUGGUUUCUUUCUUACGUUUUGAUUAGAUGCAUGGCUAAUUGAGAGUCCCGUCUUGAUUGAUUAAUUAGUUUGGUUUGACAAUAUAGUUAAUUCUUUCUAUGUUAAUUAAGCAAGUAAUCUAGUUUUAGGCUCCUCAGUGGAUUAUUUCAAGUUACUAAAUCAAUUAGUGUAGAUGUUUUAUUAUUUGAACCAUCUCAGCAUGGGCUUACAUUUCACUAGUUGUGUCGUUUGGGUUUUGGGUUGGCUAUGACCUAUUUGUGCAAGGACAUACGAUCCAGUUUGGGUUUAAGUCACUGGGUUGAAUUGACCCAUUUGGUAAUCUGAAGUAAUAUUUAGAGGGUUUGGGAGUUAGUUUGGGUAGUCUUAGUGAAGGAAUCUUUUGUAACAAGAAGGUGAAGCUUCUAGGAAGCUGGGGUGGGGGCUGUUUUGGUAAUUGGUUAAUCACGUUAAGGGUAAUUCAACAAAAAGGAAAAAUCAGGUAAAGAUUAGUUAGCAAAAAGCAAAAUUGAAAAAGGACUGAAUGGUAAAAAAUAUCUCCUUGGGUCUGCCCUAUUUGCUUGCCUAUAAAGGCAUCUUUUCCUUGCCAUUCAAGGCAGAAUUUCCAUAGAUAGAAAAAUACAGAAGAGAAAAUGGCUAAAGCUUUACUAUUCGAUUGAAAUUUCUUCUUCUCUUUGUGAUUUCUGAAGUUUUUAAGCCUGAGACAUUUUCUAAUUCGUAUGGUGGCUGAAAGGGUUUGAUUUUGGUUGGUUUACGAGUUUUGCCUGAAGUUCUUGUUGAUUUUGUUAUUAUUGCACACUAUUUUCUGGAUUUGAGCUGGUUUUUGCUGGGAAUCACUGUUCUAUUGCUUUUUCCUGCUGAUUUCUGCUGUCUUUGCUGGGCUGUAGCUACUGCUUGUUCACUUCUAUUUUCCUUUGUUAAUUUCCAGGUAUUUCCUCAUACCAUUGUUAACAAAUGGGGUGCUACAAGUUAGAACCAGACUGAAUCUCUAUACAAAGUUGAUAAUUUGUUUUGGAAUUAGAACAAAAGCAUUGAUUAAUGCUGAAUCUCCAUUAGCUCCAGCUGCUUUAUGUCCUUAAUUUCUCAUGUCCUAAAGUAAUUCAGUGUUUUACUUUCAAAAUAUGUUAGUCUGUUUAUUCAUGCUCAAUGGUUUAAGGUUGAAUGACUUGCUUGGAUUUUUGGGCUCUAUAAUUGUAAAUGGAAGCUCAUAGGUGAAUGGACUGUUAGGGUCGUGCUGCACUUGAACUUUAAUUUAUUAUUUUCAGCUCUGUUGUGGGUUGAAUCUUCCUGUAGUUGAUGUUUCAAAGGGGAACUUUGUGUCGAAUACUGUUGGUCAAGAUGCAGUAGCUAAUUUACUCAACUUGAGCAUACUUACUUGGUUACUGAAAUUACCUAGGUUCAUUGUUGUUAGAAUAAACUGUAAAUACGGAUUUAGCAUGUGCUUGCAUGAAGUGUGUUAUGAGUUGUAUAACUGAAUAACAACUGAACCCCU
rnacentral:lncRNA from 1 species